GAUGAACGCUAGCGGGAGGCCUAACACAUGCAAGUCGAACGGGAUUCACCUUCGGGUGAUGAGAGUGGCGCACGGGUGAGUAACGCGUAUGCAACCUUCCCCAAUCAGGGGGAUAGCCCGGAGAAAUCCGGAUUAAUACCCCAUAUUAUUAUAGUUUCGCAUGGGACUUUAAUGAAAGCUUCGGCGGUUUGGGAUGGGCAUGCGUGGCAUUAGCUGGUUGGUGAGGUAACGGCUCACCAAGGCGACGAUGCCUAGGGGUUCUGAGAGGAUGAUCCCCAACACUGGUACUGAGAAACGGACCAGACUCCUACGGGAGGCAGCAGUGAGGAAUAUUGGUCAAUGGGCGCAAGCCUGAACCAGCCAUCCCGCGUGAAGGAAGACUGCCCUAUGGGUUGUAAACUUCUUUUGUACAUGAAGAACGGGCCUUACGUGUAAGGUUAUGACGGUAAUGUACGAAUAAGCAUCGGCUAACUCCGUGCCAGCCGCCGCAGUAAAAC
rnacentral:rRNA from 1 species